rnacentral:miRNA from 2 species
AUUGGCGCCUAUAUCAGAGGUA